GCCACGGUUGGCGUAGUGGUUAGCGCUCUUGCCUUUGCAGCAAGAAGACCCGGGUUCAAGCCCCGGUUCCAACCGGGGCA